GACUGAUAACUGCCGAAUUCUCGCACCAAGAAGCGGGGGACCCGACCAUUUAUGGGUGAAUUGAUCAAUAUUAAAGUGAUCAUAGGGAACCUUCAACCGAAUCCUUAGCUAACCUCGCAGGCAUUGGAAGGAGUAUUA
rnacentral:sRNA from 2 species